rnacentral:rRNA from 1 species
UACGAAGGGGGCUAGCGUUGCUCGGAAUCACUGGGCGUAAAGGGUGCGUAGGCGGGUCUUUAAGUCAGGGGUGAAAUCCUGGAGCUCAACUCCAGAACUGCCUUUGAUACUGAAGAUCUUGAGUUCGGGAGAGGUGAGUGGAACUGCGAGUGUAGAGGUGAAAUUCGUAGAUAUCGGAAGGAACGCCGGUGGCGAAAGCGAGCUGCUGGAUCCCUCCUGACGCUGAGGCGCGAAAGCCAGGGGAGCGAACGGG